UACGUAGGGGGCGAGCGUUGUCCGGAUUUAUUGGGCGUAAAGAGCGUGUAGGCGGCUCGGUAAGUCCGCUGUAAAAGUCCAGGGCUCAACCCUGGAAAGCCGGUGGAAACUGUCGAGCUAGAGUCCGGAAGAGGCGAGUGGAAUUCCUGGUGUAGCGGUGAAAUGCGCAGAAAUCAGGAGGAACACCAAUGGCGAAGGCAGCUCGCUGGGACGGUACUGACGCUGAGACGCGAAAGCGUGGGGAGCAAACAGG
rnacentral:rRNA from 1 species